rnacentral:tRNA from 1 species
AUACAAAUAAACUAAUAAAGUUUUUAGACUCAUGCUCUAACCAUAUAUAUCUUAAUAAAUAUAUUUUGUAUA